rnacentral:lncRNA from 1 species
CUCCUCUUGGCUUUGACAGUUUCCCAGAUGUCCCUUGUUUUUGACAGCCUUGACAGUUUGGAGGAGCCCUGGUCAGUGUCUUUCACAGACCAGCAUUUUCUAGUUUGAAUGCUGGGGAGAGAGAUGGGGAAUAAGAUGUCAUGGAAUCUCUGACCUGGUCACAAUCAAGCCCUGUAGAGACAAUGUUUGCUGGAAGAAGUUGCAGGAACUGUUCUCAUAAGAGACACUGUGAGAAUGGGACACGUGCAGCCCCACCUUUAUCCCAAGAUGAGAAGGUGCAACACAUGGUGAAAAACAGAGACUUUUUCUGUGUAGAACUCAGGGUGGCCCUGCUGGAGUGAGGGCUGCCCUGGCACUGGAGCUCCUGAACACACUCAGCUUUCUCAUGGGAGGCCCUAGCAACACUGACAAUAGUGAUCCCCUGAGUGGCUCCGUGGACAGCAGACAUCAAGAAGGAAGGGGCCAGAAUCCCCAUGGGGACUGUGCUGGCCUGCUAAUGUAACCCCUGUUGAAUUUAAGGCUGAUCAUAGCUGGGGCAACUCUGGUUAAGCCUUUUAUCUAUACUGAGUCCCAAAUAAUGCAAGUUUCCUCCAAAAAGUGAAGAAAACUGUGCAGGUGAUAAACGAGACCUCGAUUAUGCUGUUGACAGGCAGCUUCCCCCAGAUUUCCUUGGGGAAAGGAAACUCACAAAGCCACAUUGUGAGGAAGAUUUUACAACCUUCCCUUUACAGAUGAGAAGGCUAAGCAAGAGAGGUUACAUAAUGCUCCUGAAGUUCCACGGCUGUUACUUCACACUCUAUUGCUUCUUAAACCAGGAUGCAUUUUAUAAUAAAUAAGUAUAUUUGGUGUGAUAAUUUUUUUCCUGAUGAUUUUCUUUGACUAGAGGUAAGUGAUAAAACCAUUUGUAUUCUUGCCACUAUAGUACACAUCCUCCCAGGACGUUGGUGAGACGGACCUCAGAAAAUGUGGUGGGGUGUCAGGGGAGUUGUGAGAAAGGAGUGGAUAAAAAAAGAAGAGUGGCCAGGCGCGAUGGCUCAUACCUGUAAUCCCAGCACUUUGGGAGGCUGAGGCGGGUGGAUCACCUGAAGUCGGGAGUUCAAGACCAGUCUGACCAACAUGGAG